GGGGAGGGUCGAUGGCUCAGUGGUAGAGCAUCCGCUUCGUUAGCAGAAGGUCCCAGGUUCGAUCCCUGGCUUCUCCA